UACACGCAACAUGUUUAUUUUAUUUCAAUUUUCCUUCAUUGCUUUUUCAAAUAUCGUUUAUUCAUGUACAUCCACGGAGCUGACUGGGGUAUGUUCAAACGGUUCAGAUGGAAGCCAGUUGGAGUGCUGUAUAAACUAUCGAGUCGCUGAGAACUCUUGUGUAGAAUGUUGGCCGGGAACUUAUGGGGUGGAUUGUAAGGACUACUGUCCUCCUCAUUUCUACGGCAACUCAUGCUCAAUGGAAUGUGGCUGUGAACCAUGUGAUAAAGUCACAGGAUGUUUAAAUGC